rnacentral:rRNA from 1 species
GAUGAACGCUGGCGGCGUGCUUAACACAUGCAAGUCGAACGGAAAGGCCCAAGCUUGCUUGGGUACUCGAGUGGCGAACGGGUGAGUAACACGUGGGUGAUCUGCCCUGCACUUCGGGAUAAGCCUGGGAAACUGGGUCUAAUACCGGAUAGGACCACAUUUUGGAUGGUGUGGUGGAAAGUUUUUCGGUGUGGGAUGAGCUCGCGGCCUAUCAGCUUGUUGGUGGGGUAAUGGCCUACCAAGGCGUCGACGGGUAGCCGGCCUGAGAGGGUGUACGGCCACAUUGGGACUGAGAUACGGCCCAGACUCCUACGGGAGGCAGCAGGGGGGAAUAUUGAACAAUGGGCGCAAGCCUGAUGCAGCGACGCCGCGUGGGGGAUGACGGCCUUCGGGUUGUAAACUCCUUUCGCUAGGGACGAAGCGUUUUUGUGACGGUACCUGGAGAAGAAGCACCGGCUAACUACGUG